UUCAAAGCCCUGACCUGUUCAGUUCCCUUUAUUGCUAAUUGCUCUAUCAGUAAGUCUCAUAACGUUCAUAUAUUUUCGCAGUGUUAGUCUGAGUGAUUUGAAUACUCAUUUUUACUAGUUAGUUAAAGUUUUGUAUUGAUUUUAAUCAGUCAGCUCUCUUGCUUUUGUAAGAAGAAAAAAAAAGAACUUUCUGUUGAAGUUGGCAGUAUUAAAACACCGAUCAUUUUUUUUCAGUAAUUUUUCAAUGGAGGCAAAGUACAAUGAAUCUCAUAUAUGAAAACAGCUCUCAAUCUCCUUGUGAAUACAAAUCAUUUGAAGGAACAUCAUAGGGCAGAUGUAGUGUAAUCAUGUUGUCAAGGAGAAUGGACUACGAAAAGUGGCAAAAUAAGGUACAUAGGUAUCAACUUUAUAAUCAAUAUUUACUUUUAUGUACUAUAUGUAUCCACUUUGGUUAACUCAAGAGGUGGUGAUAGAUUUGUUCAAGUACUAUGGUAUUUUACACCAAUCCUACUACUGGUCAUAAUCCCAUUUACAAAUUUAUCUGCUCCUUUGGAGCGUUAACAAAUAACUCUUACCUCAUUCUUCUUCUACCUGUGAUGAUAUACUAGACGGGCUCUUGGAACUUUCUGAAAUCAUCAUCAAUUGUGGGUCGCUCAUUACGUCCUGCAAUAAACAUUUUCAAUGAUGAUUAACUAUUGGCAACUUUUGAUCUCUGCAACUUUUACGCACAAACAAAUUUGUCCCCAUACUUCCUUUCAUUUUGCUUCAUCCAAGAAUAAUUCUUAUUCAGUCAAAGUUGAUUUCUGUCAGUGUUGUGACUCCUUUUCCAACUAGAGAUAUUCAGUAGCAAGAUUUCAGACAUUAGACAGAGGAUUCUUCUACUUUUUUCUUCCUUUUAUACGACCCUCAAAACACUAAAUAUUAAAUAUUAAAUGUUUUUUUCUUAGAACUUGAUUGUAAUGAGAAAUCCAUUCCAUAAGAGGGUCGACAAAAGAGUGAACAAUAAUUUAUAAAAAGGAUUUAAUGGUAAUAAAUGAGGAGAUUAAGGCCAUUUGACGACGGUUUAGUUUCUUGUUUCUUGUUUUUACUUUCAUUAUUUUUAUUUCAUGAACAGCUCUUCCAUCAUUCUUAACAAAGAAAAAAAAUCAUUUAAUUGGAUAACUGUUUUUUUGUUUCUUGUUCUUUCUUUUUUAUUGAAAAAAAAAACUAUGUUUAAUAACCAUUUUUUAUUUCUUAUUUAUCUAAAAUUUUAAAUUAGAAAUGUAAAUUUUUUACAUAAAAUAAGUUUUUAAAAUUAAAUAAAAAAUAAUAAUGUUAUAUUUAUAAUGCACUUUAAAAGUAAACGUGAUAAACGAAUACGUUUACUUUUGUUUGGAAAAAUUUGGAAACACAACCAAUAAACUAGAACUUGAUUUUGGUCUUUCCAAAAAUUAUACACUAUGUUGGAAAAUGUAUCUAAAAAUAAAAACAAAAAUAGUUACCAAACACUUUUCUAAAAAACGAGAAACAAUAAACCAUAAACGGAAACAUUAUCAAAUACGGAAACAUCAUCAAACAUCUAGUGACUAAAUUGAAGCAACAAUUAAGAGGUCGUUUGGUAACAUUUCUAUUUAUUAUUUUAAGUUUUUGAGAAUCAUAAGCGUCUAAUACCAAUUUCUAGAUUCCACUUUCUUGUUGCUUAUUUAAAUGUUUCCAAAAUAUUUUAAGUUUUUGAGAAACAUAAGCGUCUAAUACCAGUUUCUAGAUUAAUGUUUCUGGUUACUUAUUUAAGAAUGUUUCCAAAAUUGUGUAGAGAUUUUAGAAACAACAAAAUCAAGCCUCUUGUUUCUGGUCCUCAUUUCAAGUUCAAAUAAAAACGUUGUUAUCAUUCUUAGCUUAUAAGAUGCAUGAGAAGUAUCUUCUAGAUAAAUAUAACAUUAAAAAAAAUUGAUUUUAAUUUUUCAGGUUAAUAUUUUAGAGAACCUGGAACAAAAAUGAUUAUAAAAUGUUUAUUUUUAUGUUUUCAAUAACAAAUUAAUAAAUAAACAAGAAACAAAAAAACAAUUACUAAAUGUAAUUCUAUAUUUCUUUAUUGAAAAAAAUAAAACAUAAGAAUGAAACAUGAACAUUACUAAACAAAGUUUAAAUUUCAAAAACCAAAUCAAAACCUAACCCAAUAACUAUUAAAUUUUUAAGGCAUCACUAUUGGAAAUUAUAAUUGACCUCCACCCAUUAGCUUAAGCUUUUGGAUUUAGUUGGUGAAUUAAGAUGAUUUCAAUGUAGGUUGCUACGAGAUGUCCUAAGUUCAAACUCCUUCAUUGUUGUUUCCUCUCCAAUUAAUGUUAACACAAGCGAGGGGAGUGUUAGAUAUUAUAUUAAAUUUGCCUCCACCCACCAGCUUAAGUUUUUGGGUUUAAUUGGUGAAUUAAGAUGAUCUAAGAGUAGAUUGCUACAGGAUGUCUUGUGUUCAAGCUCUUGCAUUAUUGUUUCCUCUCCAAUUAAUGUUAUUUUCCACUUGUUGGAUCUUUUUUCAUAUUUCAAGCACACAAGUGGGUGAAAGUGUUAGAUAUUAUAUUAAAUUUGCCCCCCACCCACCAGCUUAAGCUUUUGGGUUGUGUUGGUGAUUUAAGAAUUACACAGUGUGUUGCAUACUAACCUGCUCCGUUGAGGGAUGGCUAAAACUGCUUAUCGAUCCACUACUAUCCCUUGACUCCAUGUGCUCCAUCAUCUCUUCACCAAAUUCUCUCAAUUUUUCAAGUUCGGGCAACACAACACUGGCAAGAUCUGGUCGGUCCUUUCGCCGAAGUUCUGCACAUUCAAGUGCUAAUUUUGCAAAGCAAAGUGUUUGUUCCACUGGCCAAUCAACCACAGCUGGGUCCAGAAACUCCUGAAAAGUCCCCUUCUCGAUAGAACGAGCAACAUGGUGAGCCAACCCCAUGGCCGGCUUAGCUGUAAUUAGUUGAAGCAACAUGAUUCCUAGUGAAUACACAUCAGAUUUAACCCCAAGCAUUCCAGUUUGUUGAUACUCAGGGUCUAUAUAGCAGAAAGUUCCAGCGGCCGAAGUCACGUAGCAUUGUGUUACAUUUUCAGCCACAGCAGGUAAAAGUCUAGCCAAACCAACGUCACUAAUCUUGGAAACAUAGUUGUGGUCAAGCAAUAUGUUAGCUGGCUUGAGAUCACGGUGCACCAAUGGCUCAGGCUUUGUCUGGUGGAGAAACAGAAGGCCAGUAGCAAUCUCGGCAGCAAUUCGAAACCUCAAUUGCCAAGGAAUAACAGGGGUGUUACCCUUUCGAAAGAGUCGAUCCUCCAAACUUCCAUUGGACAUGUACUCAUAAACUAGAAUGCCAUAUUCAGGGCAUGCUCCUAGAAGAAGUACCAUGUUGGGAUGCCUUAUGCAACUCAGUAUAUCAAUCUGCAUUUACGAUAUCUAACUAAAUCAUAAGCACUAAAAAAAUGAUCCCAAAGUUCUUUCAAGUUUCUCACCUCUUGCUGAAACUGUGUCCUUCCUUGAGUUGCGUCAGGACGCAAAACCUUGACUGCAACUGAUGUGUGAUCAAGACGACAACGAAAGACAGGUCCAUAACCUCCUUCCCCAAUCUUUCGAGAUUGUGCAAAAUGUUCCGUCGCCGAUUCAACCUCCUCAAUUGAAUAUCUCCUGUAUCUGAUGUCGCUUUGUGCAAGAUUUUUCAAUGCUUUCUGCAUUUCCUCUGCCUCUUUAACUGCUUUCAUCUCCAGAUUUGCCCUUUUAUGUGAUUCUAACUCUGCAAUUCUCUUGGCUGCAUCAGCUGCUUCCAUCGCUGCUCUGCAUCUAGCUCUCUCCUGCUCUGCAAUAGCCAUUGCUGCUUCUUGUGCAAGCCGUGCCUCUUCUAGUUUUUGUUCUUCUUCACGUCUCCAAUUAUUUAGUUCCAUUGCCUAUGGGAGAAUUUUUAACAUAACCCCAAGGUUGAAUCUCAAAAAUGGGGAAAUGACUUAUAUAUAUUAUACCUUCUGCUUUGCUGUCAGUGCUUCUUUACAUGCUGUACUGUACAUCUCCAUAGUUUGUUUAAGCUCUAGCUUCAGCCUCCUCAUUUCAAGUUCUACUUCAUCCUGUGAGAUACAUAAAUUUCGACCAAUUUAGUUCAUAUCCUCAAAUCAACAUUAGAUAUGAGCAGAAAAAUUCAGUUACAAGUGCUCUCUCUCUCUCUCAUUAAAGAACGUUUAUAAGAUACAUUUCCCUAGCUUCAAAAUUUUAAUAUUUGUCAUCACUAUGAGCAAGGAGAGCUUUUAUUUAAAAUGUUAGAUAAGAUAUCCAAUUUCAAUUAAUAAUUGAAAAUACCAGAAACUAGCACUAUAUAAUAUGAUCAAUACAGGUAAAGCGUUGUACUUGAAGUCCAAUAUAUUCAUAUUGGUAUUUUGAUCAAUGUAUAUAUUUGUGAGAUCCGUGAAAAUUAUUGCUUGAUGUUAGUGUCUUUGUUCUUUGAUAAGUUUUUCAGUAUUUCCUUUGUGAUGGUGGUGGAAUCGUUAUAAUUCUCUUUUAUUUGUACCUUUUUACUCCUUUAGGAGUUUAUAUCCUUUGAGCAUUAGUUUCUCUUUUCAUUUUCUCAAUGAAAAGUUUUCUCUUGUUCAAUAAAAAAAGCCCAGAACCAUUCAUAAUAUACUGACCAAGUUCUGAGAUGACCAAGAACAUGAUGUCCUGCAGCUCUCAUCUGAAACUGAUGAGAAAUCAUUGAGAUUGCUGAGAUCUGCCCACUUUGGUUUAAAUGGUAGAGAUGUAAAGCUAUGCUCUGAGCUGGUUGAAA
rnacentral:lncRNA from 1 species